UUUUUUUUUUUUUACUGAUAUGAAAAAGACUGACACAAUUGUUUCCGAUGCUGUUCCUGAAAAUGCCACUCAACUACAGACCUUGUGUAGCAAGUUCACCUUCAUGAAGACCCCCCACUCCCCCUGAAUCUGUUAAAAGGACUACAGAGCUACGUUGAUUUUAUGUAAUGCUACGGUGUAUGUGUAACGUAGAGUUCUGGAUUCAAAGUAAAGUGGAAUCUUACACUGGAGUUGAUAGCAAGCGUUAUAGUAACGGAUGUAAGGAUGGUCGUUUUGGUAUGAUAUUGUCCAGCUGGGGUUUAAAGUCCGAGCAGGAAAGAUCGGAAUGACAACAUGCAUAACAAGUCCUUCCUGCAGGCUCGCUGCGAGGAGCCCAUCAUGACAUCAGACUGGGGCCUCCUGCUGCUGCUGGCUCUGCUGCUGCUCGCCUUAGUCUACGCUUUCCUCUAUCUGCCUGCCGUAGCCCACCGUGCCCUUCUGGAGCAGGCCAUCCGCAGCAACAACACCGGCGUGCUCACGUCGCCUGAAAAGGAGGACUGGCUCUCUGAAGAGUAGCGUUUGAAGGAGAUGUUUGUUCUGGAAGUUCCUUGGGGCAAUUGCUAUGCAGUGAGUCGAUCUCAAGCAUGUUUAUGUGAGGCUGCCCCCUUUGACACAGUACCGGUUGUGUUUUUAAUUUGGUGGGGCACCAACUACGUAAAUUAAUAGCGGGGAAAAGUCAGGAGUGUCUUGUUGUCUGCCUUUUGAUUGCUUCCAACAUCUGAUUCAUGAUAAAACUGCAAUACGAGUUGAACUAUCUGCCUUGGCACACAAACACACG